UACGGACAGAAAUUCUAAUGUUUUGAAGUUGAAGGAGACGGCGGAGACCAAGGGAUGAAAGAUAAAGUCGCAGGGAGGUGGCGGAGGAAGUGAAGGGUUGAGGUUGUAAAUGGAAAUCUCUUGGACAAAAUACGCGGAAGGGCGGAGGCGAUAGGAGAGUUCAUGGCGACGAUGCGGUGACAAUGGAGUUGUGGCGGUGGAGGACUAUGGACUCUGGCACGACAUUGGUGAGAGAGGAUGUUUAUUUGAAUUAAACCCCUUUCAAAUAUCAGAUUUUUACAUUAUUGUUUUUUUAAGUUAUCACGCAUAUAUAUAAAAAAAUUAGGUUUAAUAAUUCAAAUAUUUUUUAUUCUUCUAUUUUUGGGGACUUUUAUC
rnacentral:lncRNA from 1 species